rnacentral:rRNA from 1 species
GCUUAACUGAACCACUUUUAAUAAUAACUUCCUACAUACUAAACCCCACCUCAAUAUUUGAGCGCUUCUAUAACUUAUAAAUGUUAUUAUGCUAGAACUAGUAACAAGAAAACCCCUUCUCCUAAAUGUAAGUAUACCUCGAAUUUGAUAUUUAUCACUAUAAAUGUAGUACCUCCCCUAGAAACCCCUACUAACUUUAUUAUUAAACUUACACAAGAACACUACAGGAAAAAUUAAAACAAAAAGAAGGAACUCGGCAAAUUUUAGUCUCGCCUGUUUACCAAAAACAUCACCUCUUGACUAACUAUAAGAGGCCCAGCCUGCCCAGUGAUCAUUUAAACGGCCGCGGUAUCCUAACCGUGCAAAGGUAGCACAAUCACUUGUUCUUUAAAUAAGGACUAGUAUGAACGGCAUCACGAAGACUACACUGUCUCCUUUCUUCAAUUAGUGAAACUGAUCUUCCCGUGAAGAAGCGGGAAUUAUUAUAUAAGACGAGAAGACCCCAUGAAGCUUCAAAUUAAAUAUUAACUACUAUCCAAAUAUCACCUCAACCUAGCAGAUCUAAUUAUUAAUUUUAGGUUGGGGCGACCACGGAGUAAAACAAAACCUCCACAAUGAAAGGGCCUAUUCCCUAAUUCAAGAACAACAACUCUAAUAAUCAACACAUUGACAUAACUUGACCCAAAUCUUUGAUCAAUGAACCAAGUUACUCUGGGGAUAACAGCGCAAUCCAUUUCAAGAGCCCCUAUCGACAAAUGGGUUUACGACCUCGAUGUUGGAUCAGGGUAUCCCGGUGGUGUAGCCGCUACUAAAGGCUCGUUUGUUCAACGAUUAAAACCCUAC